GACGAACGCUGGCGGCGUGCUUAACACAUGCAAGUCGAACGGUGAAGCGCCUUCCUUUUUGGUGGGUGUGGAUGAGUGGCGAACGGGUGAGUAACACGUGAGUAACCUGCCCCCUUCUUCUGGAUAACCGCAUGAAAGUGUGGCUAAUACGGGAUAUUCUGGGUCUGUCGCAUGAUGGGUCUGGGAAAGAUAUUGUUUCGGUGGGGGAUGGGCUCGCGGCCUAUCAGCUUGUUGGUGGGGUGAUGGCCUACCAAGGCGGUGACGGGUAGCCGGCCUGAGAGGGUGGACGGUCACACUGGGACUGAGACACGGCCAAGACUCCUAGGGGAGGCAGCAGUGGGGAAUAUUGCACAAUGGGCGCAAGCCUGAUGCAGCGACGCCGCGUGAGGGAUGGAGGCCUUCGGGUUGUGAACCUCUUUCGCCAGUGAAGCAGGCCUGCCUCGUUUGUGGGUGGGUUGACGGUAGCUGGAUAAGAAGCGCCGGCUAACUACGUG
rnacentral:rRNA from 1 species